AGGAUAAUAGUUAAUUAUAACAUUUGAUUUGCAUUCAAAAAGUAUUGAUUUUUAAUCAAUUUAUCUUA
rnacentral:tRNA from 1 species